UACAGAGGGUGCAAGCGUUGUUCGGAAUUAUUGGGCGUAAAGGGCGCGUAGGCGAUCUGAAAAGUUCUGUGUGAAAGCCCACAUGUUAACUGUGGAAGUGCACAGAAAACUGUUGGAUUUGAGUUCAGGAGAGGAAGGCAGAAUUCCCGGUGUAGCGGUGAAAUGCGUAGAGAUCGGGAGGAAUACCAGUGGCGAAGGCGGCCUUCUGGACUGACACUGACGCUGAGGCGCGAAAGCCAGGGGAGCAAACGGG
rnacentral:rRNA from 1 species